rnacentral:lncRNA from 1 species
UGAAAGCUUCUACUUCCUUUUUCUUGGAACACUUGCUGGUGAAACAGUCUUGCUUGGAACCUGGCUACCAUGCCAAGAGGAAGCCCAGCCCCUUCAUGUUUGAAAGAGGGGAUUGAAUGGAAUUGCUGUGGUUCCGGAAGAACGUGCAUCUUGCAAGAAGCCCUGGAAUCUGCUGCCCGGCACAGAAUGUCGGUCAGGGUUGAACCCCUCUCUCUCCGGCUUUGCUUGGCUUUCCUUUCACCACCUGUUACCUCAUUUCAUUCAGAAUUCCUGUUGGUUUCUGCGCUGGAAUCCCUGAUUUUCCUCAAGUGUGGAAAACACAGCACUGAUGAGAUACCAGUUGCUUUUCAGCGGUAAACUGACAG